rnacentral:lncRNA from 1 species
GCGGCUUCUGCUGGCUCCGGGAGCUCCUUGGCCUGUGGCUGCGUCUCUCUGUCUCUGACUUCACACGGCCCUCUCCACUCCUCUGAGAAUCUUCCCUCCUGCCUCUGAGAUGCUUGUCCCUGGAUUUAGUUUAGGGAGAGGGAAAACCAGCUGCAGCUGAGAAACCACGGCCAUGAGACAUGGGACCCUGAACCCCGCCUGGAAGCCACCCCAAGGGAAGGACCACCGCCAAGAAUGAAGUAGAAAGGUCCCAUUUGGAACAAUCCCGUUGGGGGUCAAGGGGAAGCCCGGGCUACCCCCAAAAGGCCUCACCGAUGGCCCCCUGAGAACUGACAGGUGGAGCCACCAAUCAGAAGAGUAGACUGCUGGGGCCCCUCCCCAGCAUUAUAAAGAGGGAGGGGGACAGGCUUUAAAAGGCCUGACCUGGGCCCCCACGAACGGGUCUCACCCCGCAGCCGGCGUGGUUGCUUUUCUCCUUUUCUUGUUUCCUAGUAAAACAAGAAACUCACCUGCCCUGUGGAGUGUCCUCAAGUUCCUUAGGAGACAAGCCGGGAACCUAGACGCCCAGGACCCGGAGCCCUGGGCCAGCAUCAGGGGCCACCUGGGAAAUCCAGCGCCACCUCACCCUGCAAGCUUUCACUUAAUUACCCCUGCAAAUCAGGCCACAUCCAGGGACGCCGUGGACGUAGCUUUUCAACCCAGCUCCUUCGUGGACGGCGAGGAAGGGGCGGCGGGGGAGCACGGGGUCCACUGUCUUCCACGCGCCCAGAACGCGGUCCUCCUACUGGGCCCACGGGAGCUGGGCCCUGCUGGUCUGGGUGCUGGAGCCGACAGGUGCGCCAGCCUGGAAGUUUCCAUCCCCAGGAAGGAAGAAGCCAGCAGGGCAAAGCACGAGCCCGAGGCUGAUCCCAAGGUCCAAGCUCCCCCUCCCCGACUCCCCACUGCUGGAAAAGAGAAGCUGAGUGAAGACGGCGCCGAGAAGGAAGCCAUCGUCCUCGCCUGGGGCCCGCACGCCCCCCUGGGCAGCGUCCCACCUCCCACGCCUCAGUUACCCCAAGCCUGGGAGGAGGGGAGCAGGUGACCACUGAGGCCCACGGGCUCUUGAUCCGUGUCAUUUCCUUCUUCUGCUGACCCACCGCACCGUCCCUGGGGUUACUGCGAGAGGGAACUGAAAACCUGGCGGUGAGCAGGCCCCACCCAGCGCGUCCACGGGCCACGGUGGGGGAGGACGAGUGCGGGUCCGGGAG